rnacentral:rRNA from 1 species
UACGUAGGUGGCGAGCGUUAUCCGGAAUGAUUGGGCGUAAAGGGUGCGUAGGCGGCCUGCUAAGUCUGGAGUGAAAGGUACCGGCUCAACCGGUACAGGCUCUGGAAACUGGCGGGCUGGAGUGCCGGAGAGGUAAGCGGAAUUCCUAGUGUAGCGGUGAAAUGCUUAGAUAUUGCGCAGAACUCCGAUUGCGAAGGCAGCAUACCGGCGGCGAUCUGACGCUGAGGCACGAAAGCGUGGGUAUCGAACAGG